UUAGGGGUCCGCGGCCCCGCCCGCAGCAGGAGGAUCCGCACCCGCCUGCAGCAGGUGGAUCGAUUCCACGUGCCUCCCCCUCCCUCUUCUCUCCUCGCUGCCGCUACAGGAUGCCGCCGGGGUCGCUCUCAUCCCUCCAGCAGCGUCGGCACCGCGGGACGCAGCGGGCUCGACUUGCAUCGGCGGCGCCGGUGUCCCUCUCCUCCGUCGAGCGGCGGCGGCGUGGGACGUAGCAGGUUAAAUCUGCGUUUGGCGGCAGCGGCGGCGGCGACAGGUUCCGCUCCUUGUCGCGCCGCCCCUCUCCUUUUCCUUGCUUUCUUGCCCCUGCGGAGAUCGAGGGAGACGCCCUCGGCUUAUGGCCUCCUCUCUAGGGCCAGGUGGUGGCUAGAGGAAAGGGGAGGCGGAAGAAAUCCGCCCGCAGGCUCUCGCCGUCUCGCUCUACCUUAUGGUGUUGUAUGGUCUGUCGGACAAGGGAACCCGGUUGCUGACUGAUAUCAAACGCCUUCUCCCUAAGAUCAUGCUCCCAGGCUAAAUCAACACCACCUGUUGGGAUCUGACUCUGGUGGGAUGGAACAUGGAAAGCUAUUGGCCGCUUGCAGUCUCACAAUCUGUCAGACGCACAAGUGGAGUUUUGUUUGGCAAUGCUUUUCUAUUGAGCAUAUUAAGAGAUUGCCAUUUGUCUGUCCUUUUUAUUAAGAAAUGACGAAUCAUUUAGCACGAAUUUGUAACUGGUUCAAGUACAUGACUGUCAAAAUACGGUGUGUUCGACAACACAUCUUCUAUCAAGUUGCUGGGAAUGUUGCCUGUGCCCCGUGGCACUGUCAACAAUAUUGGAUUCAUGCAUUUGAUGCCCUCUUGGAUCCAGGGAGAGGUGCCAAAUUUUCAGUGAAUUGCAUAGCCUGCAGCAUUUGCCUACAGCCGAUAGAAUCUAUGAUCCCACAAGGGCUGUCUCUAUGAGCUAAACAAUUACAGUACAAGGCACACUCGAAUUCAGACUUUAGAGCCUCAUGAGCAAUGUUGUGAGAGCUAUCUAAAGAAAAUCCCUCUUAAUUCUGUUCUGGUUGUAUGAUGGAAUUUGAUUAGAUAAGAAUCCACGUCUGGAGGCACCGUCCGUCUCAUGGCGCCCCCCAUCUCGCUGCUGCCUCGUCUCAUGGCGUCCAAUAACCAAAGGUAUUUUUUUAAUUGGUAUUAUUUCUUUGUUGGUAAUAUUUAUUAUUGUAAAUGGCGUGAUCUGAUGAUGUAUCCUGGAUACAAUUCAAUUAAUUAAAUGAUGCCUGUACAAUAUGAUCUGUAGUAUAGCCAGCUCUAUGUGAGGGCAAUGUGAAACAAUGUAAAGUACUAGGUUCUUCCUAAAUAGCACUUGACACUUUAUUGUGCAUUUUGGAGCUAUGAAGAAUUUAGCUCUGUAGGUGCCAUUGGUUUCUGGUAUAGAUGACAUCCCUGAUGCCACAGGUGGCUUGUCUUCAAAGAUUGUAUUCUUAUUUAGUAGUGUGUUGCAGUAAAGCUUUCUCUUUUGUGUAAAACUGUAACAAACCAUGUGCUCUUAUUAUUUGGGCGUAAUCUCAUGCUGGUUAAACUACUUACUGUGAGAGUGACAUGCCAAAGUGGGCAAACUGCCUUGUGUCAGGUUCCAAGGAAUAUGCAGAAUACAGUUCACGCACAUUGCGCGUAUAUGCAGAAUCACUGGUUUUUUCAGUGCACAUUACAGAGUAAGACAACGUUGAUGAUUCAACAAGAAAAUAAUGGUGUUUUCUUUGCAUACAAUAGACAACUUCAAUGUUACAAAUACAAGGCAUUUCAGUCCAUAGGCUUCGGAGUUCAGACCAUCACCCACGAGAACACAUGCAAAGUGUUUCCAUUUUCGUUGCAGAUCUCGGUUAAUUCUCCACAUGACACAGAUGCAACCUGCGCACACAAAAAGAAAGGCAAAAAUUCAGAUACAAAGAGUACUUUUCUUCUCUUACUCCUUGUAUGCUUUGCAAUCUUCAAGACCAUUGCUCUCUGCUGGUCCAUGUGAGGCUAUCUGCUUUGUUUCUUUCUUUUUGGGCGAUCCUCUUGACUUUGCUCAGUAAUACAUGUUGGCUGCAGUUCGAUUUUGUCUGAAUAAACUUCAUGGAAGCCUUAAGGAACUUGGAGGGAAAGGGAAUGGUUAGCCUGUGACCGCAGGUUGUUGCCAGCUCGAGAACAAGGUCUAGGGUUUUGAUUUUAGGAUUAGAAGUUUAAGUUGGUAUAAUAGUAUGCAUACAAGUUCAGGGUUCAGAAUAAACUUAACGCAAACCUUUUUUUCUAAGGUCACACGUGCGUUGCACGUGCACGAUUACUAGUAUCCGCAAAGCGGCCAUCCAUUGCCGACAGACAGAUCAUCGAAAGACGAGAACA